rnacentral:lncRNA from 1 species
AGCAUACACAAUGGCUUGUACGAGGGCAAGCAAUAGCCAAAGUAAAAGAACUAAUUUUCAACAUACAAGUACUAUAAUUACUUUAAAUCAUAUACAUGCAUACUACUUUAACAAAAUUCUUUUACAACUUUGCAUCAUUUCUUUUAUACAUCACAUAUUCCUCAAAAUAUAACCAUUUGCAUUUAAAAGAACUAAUUUUCAACAUACAAGUACUAUGAUUACUUUAAAUCAUAUACAUGCAUACUACUUUAACUAAAUUCUUUUACAACUUUGCAUCAUUUCUUUUAUACAUCACAUAUUCCUCAAAUUAUAACCAUUUGCAUUUAAAAGGUAAUCCUUUACAUCAUUCAUUUAAAUAUCUUUGAUACAACUAAAAUCAUCAAAUACAAAAGAUGAUGUAUAAAGAUAUGCAACUAAACCAAAAUAAGAUACCAUCU